rnacentral:rRNA from 1 species
UACGGAGGAUGCAAGCGUUAUCCGGAAUGAUUGGGCGUAAAGCGUCCGCAGGUGGCUGUGUCAGUCUGCUGUUAAAGAGUCAUGCUCAACAUGAUAAGAGCAGUGGAAACUACACGGCUAGAGUGCGUUCGGGGCAGAGGGAAUUCCUGGUGUAGCGGUGAAAUGCGUAGAGAUCAGGAAGAACACCGGUGGCGAAAGCGCUCUGCUAGGCCGCAACUGACACUGAGGGACGAAAGCUAGGGGAGCGAAUGGG